rnacentral:rRNA from 1 species
UACGGAGGGUGCGAGCGUUGCUCGGAAUUACUGGGCGUAAAGCGUACGCAGGCUGUCUCAUAAGACGGGUGUGAAAGCCCGGGGCUCAACCCCGGAAUUGCGCCCGUGACUGUGGGGCUUGAAUGCGGGAGAGGGAAGCGGAAUUCCUGGUGUAGAGGUGAAAUUCGUAGAUAUCAGGAGGAACACCGGUGGCGAAAGCGGCUUCCUGGCCCGACAUUGACGCUCAUGUACGAGAGCGUGGGGAGCAAACAGGAUUAGAAACCCGGAGUCA